GGGAUGACGUCAAAUCAUCAUGCCCCUUAUGACCUGGGCUACACACGUGCUACAAUGGUUGGUACAACGAGUUGCGAGUCGGUGACGGCGAGCUAAUCUCUUAAAGCCAAUCUCAGUUCGGAUUGUAGGCUGCAGCUCGCCUACAUGAAGUCGGAAUCGCUAGUAAUCGCGGAUCAGCACGCCGCGGUGAAUACGUUCCCGGGCCUU
rnacentral:rRNA from 1 species